UUCCGUAGGUGAACCUGCGGAAGGAUCAUUACCUAGAGUUGCGGGCUUUGCCUGCCAUCUCUUACCCAUGUCUUUUGAGUACCUUACGUUUCCUCGGCGGGUCCGCCCGCCGGUUGGACAACACUUAAACCCUUUGUAGUUGCAAUCAGCGUCUGAAAAACUUUAAUAGUUACAACUUUCAACAACGGAUCUCUUGGUUCUGGCAUCGAUGAAGAACGCAGCGAAAUGCGAUAAGUAGUGUGAAUUGCAGAAUUCAGUGAAUCAUCGAAUCUUUGAACGCACAUUGCGCCCCUUGGUAUUCCAUGGGGCAUGCCUGUUCGAGCGUCAUUUGUACCUUCAAGCUCUGCUUGGUGUUGGGUGUUUGUCUCGCCUCUGCGCGCAGACUCGCCUCAAAACGAUUGGCAGCCGGCGUAUUGAUUUCGGAGCGCAGUACAUCUCGCGCUUUGCACUUCACCGCGACGACGUCCAAAAAGUACAUUUUUUACACUCUUGACCUCGGAUCAGGUAGGGAUACCCGCUGAACUUAAGCAUAUCAAUAAGCGGAGGAA
rnacentral:rRNA from 1 species